rnacentral:rRNA from 1 species
AUGCUCCAUCAUCUGUGCUCGCAAAUCGAGCCUAGACCAAAUGACCCUCAAUGGCAUUCCUCUGCUACAGGAGUUCAUAUGUACGUAGUUCUUAGUUCUUACCAUCUCAUCUCAUGUCAUCUCAUCCCAUCUACCUGCAGGCGCAAGGUAUUUGGACUCAAGAAGUGGAUCGCUUACACUUCGUUCACGGUUGGUGUUGUUACUUCUUUGAUCGCUGUUUUUGGCCUGGCUCCCAAUCCUAAAAUAGUAGAGUAUGAAGGACAUCUUGUUACUGCUGAGAGUGUGCCCAUGCUACAAGAGAGAUUGCGCAAGCAAGAUGGAUAUCAGCGUGCUGCUACUGCUGGGGAGUGCACAUGCAAACAAGGUGCCUCAAAAACUUUACGGAGUAUCAUAUAG